CCUACGGGAGGCAGCAGUGGGGAAUAUUGCACAAUGGGGGAAACCCUGAUGCAGCGACGCCGCGUGAGUGAAGAAGUAUUUCGGUAUGUAAAGCUCUAUCAGCAGGGACGAGACAAGACGGUACCUGACUAAGAAGCCCCGGCUAACUACGUGCCAGCAGCCGCGGUAAUACGUAGGGGGCAAGCGUUAUCCGGAAUCACUGGGUGUAAAGGGAGCGUAGACGGCUGUGCAAGUCUGAAGUGAAAGGCCAGGGCUCAACCCUGGGACUGCUUUGGAAACUGUGGGGCUAGAGUGCUGGAGAGGUAAGUGGAAUUCCUAGUGUAGCGGUGAAAUGCGUAGAUAUUAGGAGGAACACCAGUGGCGAAGGCGGCUUACUGGACAGUAACUGACGUUGAGGCUCGAAAGCGUGGGGAGCAAACAGGAUUAGAUACCCUGGUAGUC
rnacentral:rRNA from 1 species